GAGCCUACGGGGCGCAGCAGUGGGGAAUAUUGCACAAUGGGAGAAAGCCUGAUGCAGCAACGCCGCGUGAAGGAAGACGGUUUUCGGAUUGUAAACCUCUAUCAAUAGGGAAGAAAGAAAUGACGGUACCUAAAUAAGAAGCCCCGGCUAACUACGUGCCAGCAGCCGCGGUAAUACGUAGGGGGCAAGAGUUAUCCGGAAUUACUGGGAGUAAAGGGAGAGUAGGAGGCAAGGUAAGCGAUAUGUGAAAGACUUAAGCUUAACUUAAGGAUUGCAUAACGAAAUAUCUAGCUAGAGUACAGGAG
rnacentral:rRNA from 1 species